rnacentral:rRNA from 1 species
GACGAACGCUGGCGGCGUGCUUAACACAUGCAAGUCGAACGAUGAAGCCGGAGCUUGCUCUGGUGAAUUAGUGGCGAACGGGUGAGUAACACGUGAGUAACCUGCCCUUGACUCUGGGAUAACUGCGGGAAACUGUAGCUAAUACCGGAUACGACCCUCGGAGGCAUCUCCUGGGGGUGGAAAGAAUUUCGGUCAAGGAUGGACUCGCGGCCUAUCAGCUAGUUGGUGAGGUAAAGGCUCACCAAGGCGACGACGGGUAGCCGGCCUGAGAGGGUGACCGGCGACACUGGGACUGAGACACGGCCCAGACUCCUACGGGAGGCAGCAGUGGGGGAUAGUGCACGAUGGGCGCAAGCCUGAUGCAGCAACGCCGCGUGAGGGAUGACGGCCUUCGGGUUGUAAACCUCUUUUAGCAGGGAAGAAGCGAAAGUGACGGUACCUGCAGAAAAAGCACCGGCUAACUACGUGCCAGCCGCCGCGGUAA